rnacentral:rRNA from 1 species
UACGAAGGUGGCUAUCGUUGAUCGGAAUUACUGGGCGUAAAGCGCACGUAGGCGGGUUUGUAAGUAGGGGGUGAAACCCCCGGGCUCAAACCGGGAAAUGCCUUCUAGACUGCAAGCCUGGAGGUCAGGAGAGGCGAGUGGAAUUCCGAGUGUAGAGGUGAAAUUCGUAGAUAUUCGGAGGAACACCAGUGGCGAAGGCGACUCGCUGGACUGAUACUGACGCUGAGGUGCGAAAGCGUGGGGAGAAAACAGG